rnacentral:rRNA from 1 species
AUGGCCGCCGGGCGCCACGGAGGGUACAGGGACUACGAGGCCAGGGAGCGGGAGCCCGACGCCGAGGCCGCCAGGAGGAGCCAGAGCCUCGGCGACCGCCACCGGAGCGACGCCGACCGCCGCCGCGACGGCGGGCGCAGCAGCGGUGGCAGGGAAUUCUCCAACGGCUAUGGCCACCGCCGCUCGCACCCGCCCAAAAGCCGCCUCUCCACCAGGCUUGGGGACCGGGAGCCCGGCGAGGUGCUCAGCGGGAGUGCGUCAGAUGACUCUGGUGGGAGGUCAGGCAGAGCGGCGGGGGAAAACACCUUGGCCAGUUCUAGCAGGGAGGGCGAGGUGGCGGUGGGGGCGCCUGCUGCCCCUUCGCCCAGUAAAAAGAGGAAAUUUUCGCCCAUAAUUUGGGACAGGGAUAGCCCAAAGCCGCCGCCGUUGCAUUCUGGUGCAGUGACUGUGAAGGGAGUGGUGGAAUCCGCAUCUGCUGAUACAGCAAGUGACCAGAAAGUGGUGGAGUCCUCUUCUGCUCAACUCCCUCCCCCUCCUCCGCUGCCGCCACAGGGGCACAUCCCAGAGAGAUUGGUCGUGGAGAAUUCACCAAUGGAUGUGGACCUUGCUGUUGAUACUGGGAACAAUGAGCAGUUGCACGAGCUGGAGGAUAGUAAAGUGCUUGAGGUAGAGGAGAGUAAAGUAAAGGAUGAAGAGGAGAGUAAAGUAAAGGAGGAAGAGGAGUACCCAACAAUGAGGAACAUAUCAACUUCAAGGUGGGCAGGUGCUAACGAUGACGAGGAGGAGGGUGUAACACUGAGGAAGAAGAAAGGCUUAUCUCCUGCAGAUUCCGCUGAGCUGGGGCAGGGUAAGAAGACUCCUACUCCAGAACUUGGGGAGGUUGUGACCAGUGAUAUUUCUGGACGGAGGACCAUGUCAAGGUCAUCUGAUUCAGGGAGAAUGGGUAACGACGAGAAGGAAGAUUUGGAAUUAGGUAAAGGUGACUACAUGGAUGUUGAUAGAGGGGAGGCUAGUGUUAAUGGUUCAGCUAAUCUUCUAUCUUCUGAUUCGGAGGAUGAAGUGCGCAGGUCUGAAACCCCUGAGCCAGUGAAGCCGGCUCAUCGAUGUAUCAAUAUGCUGCAAGGUUGCAGAAGUGUUGAUGUGUUUGAGAGGCUCAACAAGAUUAAUGAAGGCACCUAUGGUGUUGUAUAUCGAGCAAAGGAUAAGAAGACUGCUGAGAUUGUUGCAUUGAAGAAGGUCAAGAUGGAAAAGGAGAGAGAAGGUUUCCCGUUGACCUCUCUUAGGGAAAUCAACAUCCUUUUAUCUUUCCAUCACCCUUCAAUUGUUGACGUUAAGGAAGUAGUAGUUGGCAGUAGUCUUGAUAGUAUUUUUAUGGUGAUGGAGUACAUGGAGCAUGAUCUUAAGGGUGUCAUGGAGACAAUGAAGCAGCCAUAUACCCAAAGUGAGGUCAAAUGCUUAAUGCUUCAGCUAUUAGAGGGUGUAAAAUAUCUUCAUGACAAUUGGGUACUUCAUAGGGAUUUGAAGACUUCAAAUCUAUUGCUGAAUAACCGUGGUGAGUUGAAAAUAUGUGAUUUUGGACUGUCUCGUCAAUAUGGGAGCCCACUAAAACCUUAUACUCAAUUGGUUGUGACUUUGUGGUACAGGUCACCUGAACUAUUGCUAGGAACAAAGGAAUACUCUACUGCUAUUGACAUGUGGUCCGUGGGCUGCAUUAUGGCAGAGCUUCUCGCCAAAGAACCACUGUUCAAUGGAAAAACAGAGUUUGAACAGCUAGACAAGAUAUUUAGAACACUUGGCACACCUAAUGAGAAGAUAUGGCCUGGUUAUGCCAAGUUACCUGGUGUCAAAGUCAACUUUGUUAAACAACCGUACAACAGAUUAAGGGAUAAGUUCCCAGCUGCGUCUUUUUCUGGGCGUCCAACCCUAUCUGAAGCUGGUUUUGAUCUGUUGAAUAAGCUCUUAACUUAUGAUCCUGCGAAGCGUAUAUCAGCUGAGGCUGCAUUGGAGCAUCCAUGGUUCAGUGAAGUACCUCUACCUAAGUCGAAGGACUUCAUGCCAACAUUUCCAGCUCUAAACGAACUGGACAGGCGUACCAGACGGUAUAUGAAGAGUCCUGAUCCUCUAGAGGAGCAACGGUUGAAAGAACUGCAAGCAAAAGGCAACCGUGGCCUUUUCGGCUGA